ACCUCGGAUCAGGUAGGGAUACCCGCUGAACUUAAGCAUAUCAAAAACCGGAGGAA
rnacentral:rRNA from 1 species